GGGGUAAAAUCCUUUGAUCUAUUGAUGACCACCUGUGGCGAAGGCGGUCUACCAGAACACGUCCGACGGUGAGGGAUGAAAGCUGGGGGAGCAAACCGGAUUAGAUACCCGGGUAGUCCCAGCUGUAAACUAUGCAAACUCAGUGAUGCAUUGGCUUGUGGCCAAUGCAGUGCUGCAGGGAAGCCGUUAAGUUUGCCGCCUGGGAAGUACGUACGCAAGUAUGAAACUUAAAGGAAUUGGCGGGGGAGCACCACAAGGGGUGAAGCCUGCGGUUCAAUUGGAGUCAACGCCAGAAAUCUUACCCGGAGAGACAGCAGAAUGAAGGUCAAGCUGAAGACUUUACCAGACAAGCUGAGAGGUGGUGCAUGGCCGUCGCCAGCUCGUGCCGUGAGAUGUCCUGUUAAGUCAGGUAACGAGCGAGAUCCCUGCCUCUAGUUGCCACCAUUACUCUCAGGAGUAGUGGGGCGAAUUAGCGGGACCGCCGUAGUUAAUGCGGAGGAAGGAAGGGGCCACGGCAGGUCAGUAUGCCCCGAAACUCUGGGGCCACACGCGGGCUGCAAUGGUAAUGACAAUGGGUCCCAAAUCCGAAAGGAGGAGGUAAUCCUCAAACAUUACCACAGUUAUGACUGAGGGCUGCAACUCGCCCUCACGAAUAUGGAAUCCCUAGUAACUGCGUGUCAUUAUCGCGCGGUGAAUACGUCCCUGCUCC
rnacentral:rRNA from 1 species